rnacentral:lncRNA from 1 species
AUGGACAAGACAACACCAAAAAUUUAUUUGGUGUAGCUCAGUGGAACUAAAAAUGUAGAGAAAAAAGAGCCAAAGGGAGAGGCAAGGAAAAGUACAGGCGCCGGAAGAACAAUUGCUUGGAACUCAAAAACAAUCACCAGAAAGAGAAACACAGGAAAGAACUUGACCUGGAUGACCACAAAUUCAGCAAUAAGGAAUUGAAAGAUAAAUAUGGUGCAAACAUACAGGUCUCUCCAGCAUGAGAGCUUCAGAGCUCCUGGCUUGGGAUCACCCUAAUUUAGGCCUCUCAAAGAAACAUCAAAGAUUGUCAAGUUUCGGUGCCAGCAUUCUUCAUCCCUCUGUGGCAUUCCUGUGCUGGGUUGCAUUUAGCAUUCAGUACUCCUGUGAUAAGUCUGUGUCCCUAGACAAUGUGUAUGUGAGUUCUGUGCUUACUCUGGUUGCGGGGAUCUUUGCUUAUUACCAAGAGGUGAAAAACACCAAUAUCAUGGCCACCUUCAGUAAAAUUAUUCUUCAGCAAGCUCUUGUUGUCUGAGAUACAGAGAAGAAUGCAACUUCUGCAUAACAGUUGGUAACCAGGAUACAGUGAAGAUUAAAGGAUAACACUAAAUUCCUACAGAUAUCAGGUUGCUGGCUUUUCAGAGAGGUAGGGUAGAUAACUCAUCUAUCAAUGGGAUGUCCAAGCCACAGUCCUGCUCAUGUGACUUGUCUCAUGACAAUCCCCUGGAAAUAAAAAAUACUGUCUUCUCUUCCACAACCUGUUUAGAAGGCACAGCAACUGGCACAGUUGCCAACACAGGCAAUGGCACCAUCAUUGGACAGAUGGCCUCACUGACUUCAGAAGCUGGAAAUGAGAAGAUACUCAUUGCCAGUGAGAUCAAGCACCUUGCUUGCAUUGUGGCAGGAAUUCAUAGGCAUCCUUUUCUUCAUCAUCAGUGUCCAUGAAGUAUCAUGCAUUGAACCCUUCCAUCUUCCUCACUGGCGUCACGUGGCCAAUGUACCUAAGGGCCUCCUUGUCACUGUCACUUUCACUCUGUUACUGACAGAAAAUGGAUGGCCAAGUAGAACUGCCUGGUAAGAACCUGGAAGUGCUGGAGACCCCCAGUUCCACCCCAUCAUUUGCACUGACAAGACUGGCACUCUGACUCACAACAGGAUCCAUCCAUGGUGUAACAGAUUAAUGUGGCUGACACACGUGAAGAACAGUCAACCCAAGUCUUUGCCCGAGGCUCUGGAAUCUGGGACUCCUUAUUCAUGAUAAUAUUGUGUAACCAUGUUGAGUUCAAACCAGGACAGGAAAGUGUUCUCAACAUGGAGAAAGUUGUGGUUGAAGAUGCCCCAGAAACUGCCCUUGGAAAUUCUCAGCAGUCAUUUUGGGUGAUGUCAUGGAAAUUAGAAAAUGAAACUGCAAAGUAGCCAGGCUGAAAUCCCUUUUGACUCUACCAACAAGUUUCAGCUCCUCAUACAUCAGCUGAUGAUCCCAAUAAUAAAUGCUUUCUCAUGGUGAUGAAGGGUCCCUGGAGAUCUCAGUGAAGUGCAGCCGAAGGACAUAAGUCAGGAAUAGCUGAGUGAGCUGUUAAAGAUCCUCUCAGAAGCCAUCUUUGCUCAGACCUCUGACCAACAGAAACUGGGUGAGCUGUCAGAGACAGGAUGCUUUGACAGAGAAUGGAGUCAAUGCUCUAAAUAGGUAGAUAUCAGGAUUGCCAUGAGAAAAGCAGGUCCUGACGUAGUAAGAAUUCAGGGUACACAGCCUUAAUGAACAACAAUGUGACAACUUUGCAUCUACAGUCACAAGAUGAAGGAAGGUUACCUACUCUUUGACAACCUACAGAUUACUGCUUACACUUCAAGAACAUUGCUGGUUUGUUGUUGUUGUUGUUGUUGUUGUUGUUGUUGUUGUUGUUGUUUGAGAUGGAGUCUCGCUCUGUUGCCCAGGCUGGAGUGCAGGGGUGCCAUCUUGGCUCACUGCAAGCUCCACCUCCCGGGUUCACGCCAUUCUCCUGCCUCAGCCUCCUGCGUAGCUGGGACUACAGGCGACGGCCACCAGGCCUGGCUAAUUUUUUGUAUUUUUAGUAGAGAUGGGGUUUCACCAUUCACAGGAUGGUCUCGAUCUCCUGACCUCAUGAUCCACCGGCCUCAGCCUCCCAAAGUGCUGGGAUUACAGGCCUGAGCCACCGCGCCGGCCAUUGCUGGGUUUUUAAAUCUACAUUAUUGUUGGGCUCACCCUGCCCACUGACACCAUUACCAUCUUGGUUCAUCAACUUGGACACAGACAUAAUUCCCUCAUUGCCUUAGCUUAUAAGAAAGCUGAAAGUGACCUUAUGAACCAGUGUGCCACAAGAAGGACAGACUGGUGAACAAGCCACUUGCCAUGUACUCUCCUUUCACAUUGGCUUCACAUGAGGCCUGGGAGCUUCUGUUGUGUAUCUCACCAUUUAUGCCCAGGAAGAGUUUAGACCCAGUGCUCUCAUUGACCUCUGGGUCAAAUGGGAAAAGAACAGCAUGAAUGACUAGGAAGACAGUAUGGACAAGAAUGGGCAAGAUGCCAGAGGAGAUACCAAAAAAGGACAGACUACGCAGCCACCCUCAGUGGCAUUCUGAUCCAGCAAAUAGUCUAAUAGGGCAUCAGAAAAACUCAAGCAAUCUCAUCUUCCAGCAAGGUCUUUUCAGAAAUAAAGCCAUCGAGGUAGAGAUUGACUUACAGGUUAUCAUAGCAUUAAUACUCUCCCACUGGGAGUGUCAAAGCCCUGAAUUUCACUAUGCUCAAAAUUGGUUUGUAGAAAUGCCACAUGACAUUCUUAUUUGGGUGUAUAAUGAUAUGAAAACUUUUCAUCAGGCUUUACUGUGGAAGCUGUUGGGAUAAUAUACCACU